rnacentral:misc_RNA from 1 species
AAGUCGUAACAAGGUUUCCGUAGGUGAACCUGCGGAAGGAUCAUUAACACGUAUCCAAACGUAAAAAACCCCCCCCGUGAACAUUCAAUCCUGCUCUUGUAACCCGCGUAGUUCGCAAUCUCUGGUAAAUCAUAGCCCGGAAAGUAGUUUUGAUUCAGAGACCUCUGGCUACGUGAGAACAUUGGAACUGUUAACAAUGGAUAUCUUGGUUCUC